GAAGGUUUCAAAUGGGUAUAGUUGGACGGGUCCGGUUCAACAUAUUGAACCUGCAAGUACCCAUACCAACCCGUAGCUAUGGCACUAUUAAAAUGCAGCGUUUAUAUUGUUCAACCCUACCUAACAUUAUUGGUAGCAGUCUACAAACACAAACCUAGCAUUUUAGAAUUUCACCCUCUCUCAUCUCUUCAUGUGACGAAGAUGAACCCUAAAUACAAUUCGUAGAUCUCCUUCCAUUUUGCCCUUCCGUUCAUCCCUUUCCAUUUUGUGCCGCUGUAGAUUAGGGAUGUUGUUCAUGUAGAUCUGUUCUUCAAACACGGAUAUUUCCCUUUCGAAAAAGCUUCCUCUUAUACCUGCUAAAGUCUUGGAUACCCAGACUCUCAUUUGUAUUGUUUCUACCAUCUGGAAACACCCAUAACAGAUGGAUCAAGGUCAACAUAGCAUGGAAGGAGUAUUAUAGCAAGGGAAAUGUAACUGUAAGUGUUUUAUAUGUGAUUGGUUGUGUCUUAAGGCUGAUUUUCAAAGUGUUUUAUGUGUGAUUGGUUGUGUCUUAGCUAAAUGUUUUCAAAGUAUCUUGGGCUUAGUAUUGUCAAAGUGUUUUGAAGUGUCUUAGGUUGAAUGUAAUGACAUAAAUGAAGAAAUUAGCCUGAUUUAUUUAAAUCUACUUCAAAUAGGUAGAGCUCUUUCUUUUGCCACUUGCAGGAAGAUCAUUAAAACUGAUUAUAAUUACACUAUUAUAUUAGAAACUGUGGCUUAGUGUCAUUAUUUUUGAAACUAUGGCUUAUUUUAAUUGUUGAAACUGUGACUUAUUUUAAAUUGUGUAUGUUUAACUGUGGCUUAGUUUAAUUCUUUUCCAAAGUGGGGCUUAUUUUUGGUUUGUAAAUGACUAUUAAUUGAAAUGUGUGUUAGACAUUUUUUUAAACUGUUUUCAACACUGAACUUACAAACUAAGUUAUGACAUGUUAUCACAUCGUGUGUUAAAUUGAAAUGACUAUUAAUUGAAAUGUGUGUUAAAUUGUGUAUGCAUUCAUGUGUGUAAAUGAAUCACACUGAACUUAUUUUUGGUUUGUAAAUGACUAUUAAUUGAAAUGUGUGUUAAAUUGUGUAUGCAUUCAUGUGUGGUAAGAAUAAACUAAGUUAUGACAUGUUAUCACAUUGUGAUAAAUUGAAAAUUGAAAAAUUGCAAACAAAUUAUCAAAUACAUGUCUUAGGCUACUUGUAUGCUAGCUGUUUUUUUGAAACUAAUAUGAUAAUUAAUUGCAUGCUAGCUGUUUUGAAACUGUUUUCAAAUUGUGGUUGGAUUAGAUUCACUGUCUGUAAAAUUUAUUAAUUGUAAAAUUUUAAAGAAGGAUUAAACUUUAGCUAUUGAUUAUAGCUAUAAAUUAUAGAGUAUAGUUGUUGAUUCAUUUUGUUCCUUUUCUGUUUGUAAAGUUUUAAAGAAGGAUUAGAUUUUAUUUUUUUACUAUCUUAGUACUAACCAUUCAAUCAUCACUGUUUGUAAAUCACUAUUAACUGAAAAACACUCUUUUUCUUGAAAUGUUGACCAUCCUGUUUGCUUAGUGUAUGAAAUGUGACUGGUAGUUGUUGAUAAUGGCUCCUUCACUUUUUCAGCGAGGGUUCAGCCUAAUCAAAAUCUACCAAUUAAUGAAGUUGGUUCAACUGCAACGACUACACCUGUUGCACCUGAAUUAGUUAAUGUGCAACCUUCAAGAAAAAGGAAAUCUAGUGCAAGUGGUUCUAGGCAAUCAUCUGCUUGCUGGGAACAUUUUAUUAGGUUACCCGAUGACUUAGUUGAUGCUCCCACUGCAGCUUGCAAACACUGCCACAAAAAAUACUUGUGUGACCCAGGAGUCACGACACCACUAACUUGAACCAUCAUAUUAAAAAAUGUCCUAAGAUGUCACUUGUUGUGUCAACUGACCCCACGCAGGCUAUUCUAACAUACCCAACUGUAGAUGGUGACCUGAUUCAAGUUAGCUCUAGAUUUGACAAGAAAGCUUGUAGAAGUCCUUUGUCAAUUUUUGAAGUGCUAGAUGAGCAGCCAUAUAGUGCAGUGGAAGGUGAAGGGUUUAAAUUUUAUUCUAAAGUAAUGCAGCUCUAGUUUUCCAUCCCAUCUAGGCGUACAGUAGCUAGGGACUGUUUUCAGCUACACUUGGUUGAAAAACAAAAGUUAAAGGCCUUUUUAAGUCUGAGUGCAAUAGGUAGCACUUACUACCGAUUGUUGGAGUUCUAUACAAAAUCUUAACUACUUGACCCUUACGGCACACUUUGUGGAUAACGAAUGGAAGUAUCAAGAAAGAAUUAUAAGCUUUGCCGUAAUUCCAAACCACAAGGGAGACACUGUAGGUAGGAAGAUUGAAAAAGUGUUAAAAGAUUGGGGGAUUAGGAAUGUGUCAACCAUAACUGUUGAUAAUGCCACUGCAAAUGAUGUGGCUGUGACAUAUCUGAAGAAAAAAAUAACAAAUAUGAAUGGGUUGAUGGGGGAUGGAAAAUGUUUUCAUAUGAGGUGUUCUGCUCAUAUUUUGAACUUGGUGGUAAAUGAGGGGUUGAAAGAUAGACAUUUAGCUGUAACUAGUGCUAGGGAUGCUGUUAGAUUUGUCAAGUCAUCACCUCAUAGGGCAUCCAAGUUUAAAGAAUGCAUUGAAUUUGUUGAAAUAACUUGUAAAAAAUUGGUUUGUCUCGAUGUUUCAACUCGUUGGAAUGCGACAUAUUUAAUGCUAGAGGCUGCGGAGAAGUUUCAACUCGCAUUUGAAAAACUUGAGGACGAAGACUUGAGCUAUAGGGAGUUCUUUGAAAAAGGUAACCCUCUAGUAGUGAUGAUUGGGACAUUGCUAGGGCUUUUUUUGAUUUUCUAAAGUUAUUUUAUGACGCAACUAAGAUUUUUUCCACCUCUCAAAAUGUGAGUUUGCAUACUUAUUUUCACCAAGUGUCUUCCAUUUAUUGUGAGUUGUAGCAAGCUACUAUGAACUUAAAUUAUAAUUUUGCAAGUGUGGGUGGGGAUAUGAUGGAAAAGUAUAAUAAGUAUCAGGGGAGUGCUGAUAAGAUGAACAAAAUGAUAUAUUUUGGUAUUAUUCUUGAUCCAAGAUACAAGUUGAGAUUUAUUGAGUGGACUUUUAAGGAUAUGUAUGGAGUUGGAUCCAAGCUUGGUGGUGACUUGCUCAAAUCUUUAAAAAAGAGUUUAUAAAAGUUGUAAGAUUGGUAUAAGCAAGCUUAUGACCAAAAACUCAAUUCUGGACAGCCUCUUGGUAGUGGUGGAUAAGCAUCCAAUUCUGAAAUAAAUGUUACUGUUGCAUGCUCUUCAGUUAUGGCUAGAGUUGAAGCUUUUGAGCAACAUUUAGAGGAACAAGACUCGAUUGAUCAAGAAAAUGAGCUUGAGGGUUAUAAUUCUACUAAGUGUGUUAAAAAGGAUCCUAAUUUUGACAUUCUUGUGUGGUGGAAACACAAUUCAGCUCAAUAUCCUAUUUUAUCUACAAUGGCUAAAUAUAUUUUAGCCACAUCAGUGUCUACUGUUGCUUCUGAAAGUGCUUUCAGCACGGGAGGAAGAGUCAUAGAAACCUACAGGACCUCUCUAACAGCUGAAAUGGCAGAGGCAUUAAUUUGCACCCAUAAUUGGUUAAGGCAUUCUUUUACAUAUUUCAAAGACAUGAACCUCAUGGAAGAUUUUGAGCCUUCAGAAGAUAUUGUAACAGAGUUUCAAGAAAUGUCUUCAAGAGCAAGAGGAGGAUCCGGGAAUUCAGGUGUCUCGUCAUCACACUCUCAGCCACAACCUUCUGGUUGUGCUUGAAAAUUCAGUCAUACAUGACUUAAAUAUUACUACUCAAUGGCUAGCUGGGCUAUUACGCAAAAGAAUCCAUCGUAUUUUGCUUCACUUUUGCUUUACCAGUGACAUUAGAGUGACAGGCACCAGGACAAUCUUUUCUCUUGUCGGGGAAGUACAUGGAUAUGAAUCAAACAGUCCCAUAUGCUGCACUUGGGUCUUUAACUGUGCAUUUGUUUAAUUCUCUUAUAAAAACGUAAUGCAAGAAUCUUCAACACCUAUGUGUCACACAUGAAUAUCGAUGAGGAACAUGUUAUCAGUAACUUCAUCGCCCAAGCAUUGAGUGGUGAAUCUCUGACAUUCCAAUCUCUACGAACCCAAACUCGUAGUUCUGUUAUGUCUCUUACAUGGUUGAAGACAUGUAUUAUGGUAUCUGGCUAAUGAAUGUCAAAGUAGAUGAAAGCCAACCAUAUACUUUUCCUAGGAAAGAAGGCAGUGCUUGCUUGUUGCAGCUUAUUUGGGGGAUUUAUGAAGUGGAUAAUGGAAUUGAUAGUCUUGCAGUUCAACUUCAACUUGCUGAUGUUUAAUUGAAUGCUGAUGUUUACUUAAAUGCUAUUGUUUUGUCCUAUCAUCCAUAUUAUUAGUAAAUUGAAGAAUUCUUUGAUCGAGAAUUGGUAUUUGUUUUGUAAGGAUGGAAUAUUUGGAUCAUAUCUUGUAUCAUUUUUAAUUAAGGUCUAACAUCAUAUUUAGUCUAUAAUUAAUUAUAUCAUUUUGUGAUAAGAAUAAAUAAAAUUUCAAUUUUUGAAAAUGCUCAAAAUGUGUUAUUGGGUUUAAAAGGAAUCAACCCAAUAACCCGAAUAAACCGUUUCAAUUAACCCGCCAUCCGCACAAACCUAUCAUACCCCAAAUUUGUCCUACCCUUUAACUUCUAACUGGCUUAGGCUUUGCACUCAUGUACAUACAUCACUUAGGUCAUAACUCACACUCAUGCAUUCAUAUCAUUAGUAUCAAUCAAAGACCAGCAGGAAAGAACUUUUGUGGCAAGGAAUCUCCUACCAGAUGUGUGGAUCUGAGGUAAUCAGGUGGCUCUAUGUUCACGGAAGUCUUCCUGGAUUAGGUUUUUCUCAGUCUCAAUCCAAGGCAUUGGUUGAAGGAUACUGGCUUGCAAAUCAUCCGGUUCUUUAAAUCAGGGUUUCUUUGACCAAAGUCAACCAGUGGACCUUCUGGUCAACAUUUAAUCAGGAAUGGUUUCUAUGUGUGAAAAGCUUCUCAUACCGACUAUGUGGAUGUGUUUGUUUGACUGGAUUUGGCUAGAAGAGAUUUAA